rnacentral:rRNA from 1 species
AGCGAACGCUGGCGGCAUGCCUAACACAUGCAAGUCGCACGGGGGGGCUUCGGCCUCCCAGUGGCGUACGGGUGAGGAACGCGUAGGGACCUGUCGAGGGGUGGGGGAUAACCGCGGGAAACUUCGGCUAAUACCGCAUGACGCCGCGGCGUGACAGCCGGGGCCAAAGGCGAAAGCCGCCCGCCGAGGGGCCUGCGUCCGAUUAGCUGGUUGGCGGGGUAGCGGCCCACCAAGGCGUCGACCGGUAGCUGGUCUGAGAGGGUGAUCAGCCACACCGGGACUGAGACACGGCCCGGACUCCGACGGGAGGCAGCAGUGGGGAAUAUUGGACGAUGGGCGCAAGCCUGAUCCAGCAAUGCCGCGUGGGUGAAGAAGGUCUUCGGAUUGUAAAGCCCUUUCGGCGGGGACGAUGGUGACGGUACCCGCAGAAGAAGCCCCGGCUAACUUCGUG